rnacentral:rRNA from 1 species
UACGAAGGGGGCUAGCGUUGCUCGGAUUGACUGGGCGUAAAGGGCGCGUAGGCGGUUCGUACAGUCAGACGUGAAAUUCCUGGGCUCAACCUGGGGGCUGCGUUUGAUACGUGCGGGCUUGAGUGCGGAAGAGGGUCGUGGAAUUCCCAGUGUAGAGGUGAAAUUCGUAGAUAUUGGGAAGAACACCGGUGGCGAAGGCGGCGACCUGGUCCGAUACUGACGCUGAGGAGCGAAAGCGUGGGGAGCGAACAGG